rnacentral:rRNA from 1 species
AGUAGUAUUAGUUAAGGUCUUGAAACUCAAAAAAUUUGGCGGUAUUUUAGUCUAUUUAGAGGAACCUGUAGUGUAAUCGAUAAUCCACGAUGGACCUCACUUAAUUUUGUUUUUCAGUUUGUAUACCGCUGUUAUUUGAAGAUUUUAUAAGAAUAAUAAUUUUCAUAGUUUUUAAUUAAAAAAUAUAUCAGGUCAAGGUGCAGCUUAUGAUUAAGAAUUUAUGGGUUACAAUAAAAAUAUUUAUACGGAUAAAUAUAUGAAAUUAUUUUUUGAAGGUGGAUUUAAUAGUAAAUUUUUAAAGAUAAAAAAAUUGAUU